AUUUAAUUUCAAUUGGCAUCUCUUCCUCUCUGGGUGUCCAGUGUGAAGGAGGAUGUCAGCAGACUUCAAAUCACUAACGUGACAUUGGAUCUCCAAGGACUGGACCUGUGCUGCUGGAAGUGUCUGCUGGGGUUAGACUGUCUCUUCCCGUUCUGCCAAAUGUUGGCGUAAGAUGGAAUAAACUACUUCCCCAUUGCUGUUCUCCUGA